rnacentral:rRNA from 1 species
UACGUAGGAUGCAAGCGUUGUCCGGAAUUAUUGGGCGUAAAGAGCGCGCAGGCGGUUUGCCAAGUCAGAUGUGAAAGAGGCCGGCUUAACCGGCAAGGGUCAUUUGAAACUGACAGAUUAGAGUGCAGCAGAGGAUAGCGGAAUUCCCGGUGUAGUGGUGAAAUGCGUAGAUAUCGGGAGGAACACCAGUGGCGAAGGCGGCUAUCUGGGCUGCAACUGACGCUGAGGCGCGAAGGCUAGGGUAGCAAACAGG